CUGACCCACGUGGCCUCGGGGUUAUAAGCCCUGCCCACCCUGAAGGGAACCCCACUUUGGAGCCUGUUCCUCUCAGCUCUGCAGCAUCAGGUAAGGGCCUAAAUCUUCUUCACUCCAGCCCCAACCAGGGCUCCUUAACUCUGGGCCUAAAGGAUGGUGAAGGGUUUUGGGUUCAGGUUCUAAGUGGAGGCUCGGGACAGCAGGAGGCCAAGGGCUCGGGUGCCAGGGCUCCCCUGAAAGCUCCAGGCAAAGGACCAAUGACGCUAGGAUCCGCCGGCCUUCAUUGGGAACAGCUUUCAAAACCUUUUAAAUCCUCUAAGGCAGGGUUAAAGGGUAAAAUGACUUCUGCUCUCUCCACCGCUCCCCCCAAAAGAGAGGCACCUAAGGCUCUGAGGAAGGAGGGCUGGAGAGUAGGAUGGGAACGGGAGAGUGGGCAAAAGCCAAAAAGGCGGGGCCAGUAUCAGCGAGUUGUGCCCAGGUAUUUUUUCCGCCCAACAUGGCCUCCAUUUCCAUCGGCUCAUUCUUGGACUCCAGCUUGGGGGACAGCCAUGAGUGAGGGACUCAGGGCCUGGGUCUGAUGGGAGGCGCACGGGCUUCUGGGAGGCAGACCCUCUGUCUAAUGCAUAGGCUGGGCACCAAGGCUUUUACGGGAGGGAGGAGGCCGUGGCUGCCUCAGGUGGGUUCAAGACAGUGGGUCUUAGGGCUGGGAGGCACCACCCAGGGGGUUGCAGUUGUAAAGAUAGGAUUGGGCCUCAGGAGCAGCCAUGGUCUCCACCUGAGUGUCCCCAGAAGGGAGAGAAUAGGGUGGAAACCUGGAGGGGGGGAGGGAAGAAGGCCCUAAAGAGGAAGUUGUUGGUGGCGCGGAAGACUAGUCUGGCGCCAUGCUGAGUCACCACCCAGAAGGCCCAGGGCGGGCCCUCUAGGGGGCCACAGCGGGUGUAGGGGUCCUUGGGAAACUACAAGGGGGGGGGGGGCAGAGGGCUUUUUAAAAGCAGGAGUCAGCAGGAAGAGCAGGUGGCCUGAAGAAUACCUGUGGACAGACAGACAGUGCAGUCACCCAUAAAGUAGAAAGCACUACUAACAGCACUGGAGGGUGUAGUGUUUCCUACUUUAUGGAUGAGUGUACUGUGGGCUUCGGAGACAGCGCCACGCCGCGGCCACCUGCCACCGGCCUUCUCCACCCCAGGAUCAUGGAGACAGGUAAGCAUCACUUUUAUCCGCCCCCCCCAUUUUGCCAGCUCCCCCAAAGACUUUCAUUUCUUCCUAAGCACUGUGCUUCCUGACCCCAGACAACUGGGUAAAACACUGCAGCAGCUCUCUGGCAUUCAAGUCUUUGGAGAUGGGGUGGGGCCGUGUAUGUGGUGCCACACCUGCAGGCAGAUUGGGGGGAUUCCAGAAGGGAGGCCAGAUGGACGGGAACCUGCAGGGGUCACAGGACCUUCAACUCUAAUAAAGAAUGGACUUGUUUCGCUUUUGUCUGAGACUCUGUUAUUGGGGGUAUCGGGGUUGUGUGGGCUCCCCGGGUACCUGGGAACAGAAUCACCACCACAGAGAAAGAUUGGUUGUGCUGACACACGAGAACACUUAGGCUAGACUAGGCCACAGCCUGGGCAUGAAAAAGCUUGGGUCACUGGAAGCAGACCUCCUGGCAAUGUGAACAAAGGGCUAGGGUAUGAGGGGACCUCUACUUUUGGUCCUAAUUCCUGCUCCAGCUUCUAUUUAACUCUCUUCACUUCCAAAAUGAAGGCCGCUUGCCUCCGGUUUAGGUCUAAGAAAGCCUAGAGCAGUGGUUCUCAACCUUCCUAACACUUCGACCCUUUGAGACAGUUGCAGUGACACCACCACCACCAUAAAUGUAUUUUCCUGGCUACUUCAUAACCGUAGUGUUGCUACUGUUAUGAAUUGUAAUGUAAGUGUCUGUUUUCCAGUGGUCCUAGGUGACCUCUAUGAAAGGAUCCUCAUUCCCCUGAGGGGUUGCAACCCACAGGUUGAAAGCCACUGGUCUAGAGGUCCUUGGUAGCCUCAGAGUUGGGCAAAACCACUAUGGUUCGCUAUGCCCACGAGCACCUAACACAGUGGCAGAUCACGGGUACUCAUUAGCAAGGCACACAUGCAUCACCGUUCAUAUGCAUUUCCACCAGGCCCUGUACACAGAUGCCAGCAACAUGUACAAACCAAGACAUAGACUAUGAGACAUGGCUGACAUAGCAUGGUUAUAUAGUUUCCUAGGAGAAACACAUGUUCACAGCACUUACACAUACAAUGGUGUAUAUACAUGACAUGUCAUGCCCAAGAUUAUAUCCAUGUAGUGACAUUCACAUAAAUACGGUGGCUGCAUGUACAUACAGUGACACUUAUGGAUGAUAAUAUAAAAUCACAAUGGUGCUUACAGAGUCAGGAUCUCUAUGGGUUUCUACACCUAUGGAUUGAAAUUCUGUUUUGAUUUUAUUUUGAUUGUGUGUAUGCGCAUGUGACGUGGUAUGCAUGGGGGUGGGGUUAGAAAACACCUUGCAUGAGAGAGUCAGUUCUCUCAUGUGGUUUCUGGGCAUUGAACUCUAGUGGUCAGGUUUGGUGGCAAAUAUAUCCACCCAUGGAACCAUCCUACUGACCAGACUGAAAAAAAAAAUGUGUUCUUAAUGGCAAGCCAAGUAUGUGGUGUAUCCUGUAAUCCCAGCAGGUGGAGGCUGGAACUUCAUAAGAUCCUAUCUAAGAAAGGAAGCUGUGUCUUAACAGAUUUUUUUUUUUUUUUGGUCAUUGUUCUCAUGAUCUCCCCAGUAAUACAGUGUAAUUAUUUGCUUAGCAUUUACAUUGUAUUAGAAAAUAGGUAUAAACAAUUAGAGACAAUUUAAAGCAUAUGAGAGGGCUGAGGAUAUAGCUCAGUGGUAGGGUGCUCGCCUGGCAUGCAAGAGACCUUGAGGAAAACAGUGUGUAUAAGCCGUGUGCAGAUACUUCACAAUGUUAUAUAAAGGACUUAAGUGUCUUGAGAACUUGGUGAGGCAUCCAGAGAUGAUCCUAGUGCCAGUAAUCCUUAGGCUUGGAAGAGUGAAAAAAAAGGCAUGUAUACAUCUCCAUAUCAUCUCUUAUUAUUAUUAUUAACCAUAGUUUAUUA
rnacentral:lncRNA from 1 species